ACCGCACUGACAUUUAGUAACCGGGCCGGGUGCUCCAGUGGGUAAUCUGCUCAAGCUGGGACAACCUGCCGAAAGGCUGGCUAAUACCAGAUAAGACUACGGGCUCCUCGGAGCCUGAAGGAAAAGGUGGCCUCUGUAUACAAGCUAUCACUUUGAGAUGAGCCCGCGGCCCAUCAGCUAGUUGGCGGGGUAAUGGCCCACCAAUGCAACGACGGGUAUCUGGUCUGAUAGGACGAUCAGCCACACUGGAACUGAGACACGGUCCAGACUCCUACGGGAGGCAUCAGUGGGGAAUUUUGCACAAUGGGCGAAAGCCUGAUGCAGCAACGCCGCGUGUGUGAUGAAUGUCUUCGGAUUGUAAAGUACUUUCGACCGGGACGAACACCCCUUGGCUAACAUCCAAUGGCCUGACGGUACCGGGAGAAGAAUCACCGGCUAACUCUGUGCCAGCAGCCGCGGUAAU
rnacentral:rRNA from 1 species